ensembl:lncRNA
GAAUAAGAAAGAUCCCCUGGAGAAGGAAAUGGCAACCCACUCCAGUAUUCAUACCUGAGAAAUCCUAUGGACAGAGGAGCCUGGUGCGCCAUAAUCCGUGGAGUGGCAGAGUGACCGGAGCGACCAAACAACACCUCUCCUUAGGGACACUAUGCUUACAGCUGUGACACUGGCGUUGCUGUGACCAGGAAUUUGAGAUACACCUCCCAUUUUACAAAAAUCUCUGGAGGAUUUCCUGUGUGCCAGGCUCCGUGAUGGGCGCUGGGGUAUAAAGCGAGCAAGACAGACCAGCUCCCUGCUUACAGGAAGCUUCUAGUCAGGGACACAGUCCAUCCACAAGAAACAAGUAUGCCUCUGAUUUCAGAUAAUGAGAGUGCUAUGGAGAAAAUACACAGUUGUACAGGAGACAGAGUGUUGUUGGAAGUGGAUCCUGCCUGCUAUUCAUCACCGUGAGAUAGCAGAUACAACGGCAAGCAUGUGGGAUUUGAAAACGGACUGCCCGGCUCCAAGUCCAGCCUCUGUCACUUAUCAGCUAUGACCUUAGUGGGAACUGCCCGACCAUGGUCUCUGUUUUCCAGCCCCUUUUGCAUCCAGAUGCAAAGACAACUUUUUACCACUGAGAAACGUGUCACUUCCAGACCAGGGUCCCUGAGCCACCUCAAAGAGGAAAACCGCCAGACACUCCUGUGAUGAGACCCCUGCAAGGCUUUUGGUUCUCAGACAUCUAAGAGGGAAGAAGACAACUGUGUGUCUCAUGUUUUCAUCCACCUGGAAAGGAGGGGAGAACUGACUCCACAUUGGAUCUGCCUCUUUACGUUAACCUUUGCUUCUUGUGGCCUUGUUUGCUGAAAGGACACUGUUUUUACAUAAUGGUCUGCCUUGGGGAACCCUGCCCCUCUGCCUGAAUAUCAAGGCUCCUUUGCUCAGGACCCUAUCCACCUGUGGAUAGCUACAGGAAGGAAGAAGUUAACACACCCCCUCGCAGAAGCUUGCCACUCUAGGACGUGUUUGCAAGAUUAAUGGCCUUUUUACUUUGCUUCCUCACCUCUCCUUCUCACCCUUGUUCUGUACAAGAGCCUGGCUUCCAGACCCAGACAAGAUGGUUAUUUUGAGACAUUAGUCUGCCAUCUUCUCGGGGCCAGCUUUCCAAAUAAAGUUGUAUUCCUUCCCUC